GGCAAUACUUGGUCUGCCUUUGUAUGUCUGUAUCAAAAAUCUACUGCUUCUAAAAAGUCUACAGGAUGGGGCACAAUAUAUUUGGACCUGUUCUAGUUUCCAUUUUCAUUGCCUUAAGCUUAACUGCAGGAGAAGACUUGAUCAGAUUAGCUGGUUCAGAUGGCUACUGUUCUGGAAGAGUUGAAAUAUAUCACAGCGGUGCCUGGGGAACAGUCUGUGAUGAUGGCUGGGGAACAACUCAAGCACAAAUAGUUUGCAGACAGUUAGGCUGUGGCUAUGUGCUGAGCGUUCCUCCGCCAGGCUACUUUGGUGAGGGCACUGGACCGAUCUGGCUUGAUAAUGUGCAAUGUCAAGGAAAUGAAAAUGCUCUUUCCACAUGUUCACACCGAGGAUAUGGAAUA